GUCCAAACACCCUGGAGAGGACACAGAAAAGACAGACAACCACCCCAAUUACUAAUGGAGAGCAGCUGUGGAGAGCCUGGAACAAAAGGCUACAUGCUAACUUUUAAAAUACACAAUAAAUAUU